UACGGGGGGGGCAAGCGUUGUUCGGAAUUACUGGGCGUAAAGGGCUCGUAGGCGGCCAACUAAGUCAGACGUGAAAUCCCCAGGCUUAACCUGGGAACUGCAUCCGAUACUGGCGGGCUUGAAUCCGGGAGAGGGAUGUGGAAUUCCAGGUGUAGCGGUGAAAUGCGUAGAUAUCUGGAGGAACACCGGUGGCGAAGGCGGCAUCCUGGACCGGUAUUGACGCUGAGGCGCGAAAGCUAGGGGAGCAAACGGG
rnacentral:rRNA from 1 species